rnacentral:rRNA from 1 species
CGAGUAAUGUCUGGGAAACUGCCUGAUGGAGGGGGAGUAACUACUGGAAACGGUAGCUAAUACCGCAUAACGUCACAAGACCAAAGAGGGGGACCUUCGGGCCUCUUGCCAUCGGAUGUGCCCAGAUGGGAUUAGCUAGUAGGUGGGGUAACGGCUCACCUAGGCGACGAUCCCUAGCUGGUCUGAGAGGAUGACCAGCCACACUGGAACUGAGACACGGUCCAGACUCCUACGGGAGGCAGCAUG